rnacentral:lncRNA from 1 species
CACAUUUACCCUUCAAUAAUUUGAUGGAAAAAUGGAUAUGUCAAAGUGCUCCCAAGAGAAGAAGAUUCCGUCUCUUGGGAGCGUCUCUCUUAUUCGAUCGCACACCUCAAACCAAUAAGAGAGAUGCUCCCAAGAGAAGAAGAUUUCGUCAGAGUAAACGUGCUCCUGUGACAGAAUACAAUCCUGGAAAAGUAAAUGCCUAUGUAGCCUCACUCCCACAUUCCCAAUCCAUUUUAGAUAGGCUCUACUCAAGUUUAAGGAGAGUCGCCGUAUAUUUGACAGUCUAUCUUGGAGUAGGCAUACUCUGCUUCUACCUUGUUAGCCCCCAAAUCAACGAGAAUAAAAUGGAUGGAGUCCUUGAUGUACUCGUUUUAUUUCUAUAUUGUGAUUUUGAUAGUGAGUGGAAGCCUUAUGACAAUGUGCAAAUUGAUUCUGAUAAGGAGGGUUUUAGUGAUAUGGAAGAAUCAUCAAUCGAUGAUGAAGAAGAAAUUGAUAAAGAGGGAGGAAUUAUUGGCAUAGGGGAUAAAGAGUUGGGUGAUAAUGAUGUGGUUGGUAAAGAAAGAGAGGUGGGUGGUUCUUAUCUUGGUGAUAAAGAGGAGGGUGUUCCUAUAGCAGUGAUGACCAACAUUGCCAAAUUAAGUCACUAAAUGAUGAUACAACCAACAUAAAAGUUUUCAAAAUUUAGGGAGAAGGACAUGCAAAAUCCUCAAUUCAGUUGGGUAUAUAUUUCCUGAUGGUAAAGUGUUUUAACUUUUCUAAGGGAGUAUCACAUAAAAGAGGUUAUGUCUUUAAAUUUUAAAGAAUAGUCUCUAAGAGUUUGACUGUGGUAUUCAAAUAUGAUAACUGUACUUUUAGACUUCAUACUUCUCUUAUGUAUAAUCAAAGAUCUUCAAAUCAAAAGAAUUCAUAGCUCUAUACAAGCUCUCGGCUUGUUCUUGUUUUUAAUCCUGGGCCUCCUUUGUUAAUGGAAAAACUAACCUUGCUUAGUAUCAGUUGUCAACGUUUAUUUCUUUGGAAACGGUUUCUGGAUGAGCAACGGCAGUCAUGAUUCACGUGAUCUUUUUAAAAACAAAUGCUUUUCUGAUUUAGGAUAUUAAUUCGCAAUAUGGAACUUGAAGAAUGGUUUAAGAAAUAAGGGUUUUAAGUGUACCGAAUUGAUUGAAGAAUCCUUGUUUGGUUAGGAUGUUAACGUUAUCAAUAUGGGGAUUGAACAUGGAAGAAUGAGUUCCUUUUGUUUGGUUUGGUUUAGUUUGGCUGUGUUUUUUGAAAAACCGAGCGUGAAUUGAGAAAAUUGUGUAUUUCUCUUGAUUGAUCGGGUGGUCAUUUCAAGUCCGAAUUUGAUGAAAUUUUGAUAUGUCGUUCAUUUCAAGUCCGAAUUUUGAUUGUUGUGGAUUGCCAAGACUCUCCUCGGAUUUGUAGUUUGUGAUAUCCACUCUUAUUAGUGAGAUCUAUCUUGCUCUCUUGUUGACAUGGUUCCAUCUCUUAGAUGAUGAUGAUGAUGAUGAUAUUGUGGUGGUUUUGUUGUGAGCUUUAACAUGUUCUUAAUGAUUGUGCAUCUCGUCUCUAUUUGGAAAUAGAGAUGUUUUGUUGUAACUUGUAACCACAUUAUUUCAUAGUGGACAGAAAAUUGAUUUGAUUUUUGACCCGAGUAACAAAACAAAUUAUUUUUGGUAGUGGUGUUCUAUCAUGUCACUUGUCAUGUGCUUGGUGGGUCCUUCCGGUUUAUAUUCAACCAUAGUUAUCAGGAUCGGAUCGGCCGGUUCAAACGGUUCAACAGAAAACCGGCCACUAAACCGGUUCGAUAAAUAUAUUUUACUGAAAAUGCAAGUGAACCGGGUUAAACCGGUUGAACCGGCAAAUUUUUUAUCGAACCAAACGACUUUUUAACAGAUUAAUAAUUUUUUUAUAUUAUUUUUUUAACAGAUUAAAAUUUCUAUAACAAAAUAAAAUAUUAAAUUUUUUUGUAAUAUUUUGACAUCCCUAAAAAAUAUGUUGAAAAUUUUGAUCGUCGUUUUGAAAUCACCCAAUGAAGAAUCUCUAAUCGCAACAAAAUCAUUAAAUCUAUUUGAAAUCACCACAAAAAAAUAUUUUAUUUUUAUUAUUUAUAAUAAAAAUAUUUUAUUUAUUUAUUAAUUAUAGGACCGGUUGAACCAUGAUUGAAUCAGUGAACCGUUGAACUGGUGACUUAAUCGGUUCAAUAUCCGAUUUGGUUCUGAUAACUAUAUAUCCAACACCCCUUGUAAGGAGGGUUAUCGAGUGUUAUUUGAGCAUUAUUUUAUAUUAUUCAAUAAAUAAUACAUUUGUACGUGUUGACUACAACCGAGAUAAGAAAAUAGUAGACUCGACUAUUUAAACUAAUCGCUCUAAUUAAGGUUAAAGUAUCGUUAGAAUUUGCUCUAAAAGAACUUAAUAAUUUAUUUUAACUUUUACAAAAAGCAGAAAAUUCUAUUAUUUAGAUCAAUCACGGUUACAAGUACUAUUCACAAUUGAGAGAGAGAGA